GGACAUAUCAUAACGAAGAGGUAUCGUAAUUGAAGAGGUUUGGAAAGACCCACCACAGAAGGUAAUAGUCCUGUAUGUUAAACGAGAAGACUUUAGAUAUGAUCCAGAGUACCACGGGACACGUGAAACCCUGUGGGAAGCAGGAGGGACCACCCUCCAAGGCUAAAUACUACCUAGUGACCGAUAGCGUAUAGUACCGUGAGGGAAAGGUGAAAAGAACCCCGGGAGGGGAGUGAAAUAGAACCUGAAACCCUGCACUUACAAGCUGUGGAAGCACAUUUCUUGUGUGACCGCGUACUUUUUGUAGAACGGGCCAACGAGUUACGUUAAGUAG
rnacentral:rRNA from 1 species